rnacentral:rRNA from 1 species
AUUGCACGCUGGCGGCAGGCCUAACACAUGCAAGUCGCACGAGUGGCGGACGGGUGAGUAAUGACUGGGAAACUGCCUGAUGGAGGGGGAUAACUACUGGAAACGGUAGCUAAUACCGCAUACCAUCAGAUGUGCCCAGAUGGGAUUAGCUGGUUGGGGGGGGAACUGCUCACCAAGGCGACGAGCCCUAGCUGGUCUGAGAGGAUGACCAGGCACACUGGAACUGAGACACGGUCCCGACUCGUAGGGGAGGCAGCAGUGGGGAAUAUUGCACAAUGGGCGCAAGCCUGAUGCAGCAAUGCCGCGUGUAUGAAGAAGGCCUUCGGGUUGUAAAGUACUUUCAGCGGGGAGGCGUUACCCGCAGAAGAAGCACCGGCUAACUCCGUGCCAGCCGCCGCGGUAAUAC